AUACCACCAAUCAAUUCUAUAUAUAGUACAUUGUAAUAUCCCGUGUAAUAUAUCGUCAUGCGUAUUGUGAUGGUCUUGAUGAUUUAUUGUACACCAAACCCGAAUACAAAAAGCACCUUCACUUCAGGUAUAUACACGCAGUAAUAUAAACCAGACUAUUUUUGGAAGUGACACUUUGAAGUGGAGUAUGGAUCAAGAUGUGUUAAGGAAACUCUUAACCACUAUUGCUGUCAUUUUCUUCGCCUCGUCGUCUAAAUUAAUUGGAACAGUUGCAGUUCUUGCUCAGGGGGAAUACGAGGGGGCCAUUCGACUUGUAGACGGUACGUCGGCUUAUGAGGGGCGAAUUGAGAUCUAUCAUUCCGGAGAGUGGGGCACAAUUUGUGAUGAUUCUUGGGAUACUAACGAUGGUGAAGUGGCCUGUCGACAAUUAGGCUACCCUGGAGUCGACCAGGCAUUCCAAGGAGUUCAGUUUGGGGAAGGGUCUGGAACGAUCUGGCUGGAUGACUUGCGAUGCAGUGGUUUAGAAGAAGAACUGUCUGCUUGUUCUAGCAAUGGAUGGGGAGUUCAUAACUGCGGACAUUCGGAAGAUGCAGGACUCAGGUGCUCUUCUAUCUCAUCAGGAACCGAGCUGAGACUAGUCGGCGGUUCUUCGUCGAAUGAGGGACGUGUUGAGAUCUACUACUCAGGAGAGUGGGGUACUAUAUGUGAUGAUUCAUGGGAUAUUAACGAUGGUGCAGUGGCCUGUCGACAAUUAGGCUAUUCUGGAGUCGACCAGGUAUUCCAAGGAGGUCAGUUUGGGGAAGGGUCUGGAACGAUCUGGCUGGAUGACUUGCGAUGCAGUGGUUUGGAAGAAGAACUGUCCGCUUGUUCUAGCAAUGGAUGGGGCGUUCAUAACUGCGGACAUUCGGAAGAUGCAGGACUCAGGUGCUCUUCUAUCUCAUCAGGAUCCGAGCUGAGACUAGUCGGCGGUUCUUCGUCGAAUGAGGGACGUGUUGAGAUCUACUACUCAGGAGAGUGGGGUACUAUAUGUGAUGAUUCAUGGGAUAUUAACGAUGGUGAAGUGGCAUGUCGACAAUUAGGCUAUUCUGGAGUCGACCAGGUAUUCCAAGGAGGUCAGUUUGGGGAAGGGUCUGGAACGAUCUGGCUGGAUGACUUGCGAUGCAGUGGUUUGGAAGAAGAACUGUCUGCUUGUUCAAGCAAUGGAUGGGGCGUUCAUAACUGCGGACAUUCGGAAGAUGCCGGACUCAGGUGCUCUUCUAUCUCAUCAGGAUCCGAGCUGAGACUAAUAGGCGGUUCUUUGUCGAAUGAGGGACGUGUUGAGAUCUACUACUCAGGAGAGUGGGGUACUAUAUGUGAUGAUUCAUGGGAUAUUAACGAUGGCGCAGUGGCAUGUCGACAAUUAGGCUAUUCCGGAGUCGACCAGGUAUUCCAAGGAGGUCAGUUUGGGGAAGGGUCAGGAACGAUCUGGCUGGAUGAUUUGCGAUGCAGUGGUUUGGAAGAAGAACUGUCUGCUUGUUCUAGUAAUGGAUGGGGCGUUCAUAACUGCGGACAUUCGGAAGAUGCAGGACUCAGGUGCUCUUCUAUCCCAUCAGGAUCCGACCUGAGACUAGUAGGCGGUUCUUCGUCGAAUGAGGGACGUGUUGAGAUCUACUACUCAGGAGAGUGGGGUACUAUAUGUGAUGAUUCAUGGGAUAUUAACGAUGGUGCAGUUGCAUGUCGACAAUUAGGCUAUUCCGGAGUCGACCAGGUAUUCCAAGGAGGUCAGUUUGGGGAAGGGUCUGGAACGAUCUGGCUGGAUGAUUUGCGAUGCAGUGGUUUGGAAGAAGAACUGUCUGCUUGUUCUAGCAAUGGAUGGGGAGUUCAUAACUGUGGCCAUUCAGAGGAUGCGGGAGUACGCUGUGCGGUAUCUGCUUCCACGGAAGGGGCAGUGCGUUUGGUGGACGGUCCGAACGAUGCAGAGGGACGCUUGGAGAUCUUUCACGAUGGCCAAUGGGGUACCGUCUGUGACGACACGUGGGACUUGGAAGAGAGCCGGGUGGUCUGCCAACAACUCGGAUUCGAAGGUGAGGGGUAUUUCACCACCAGCGACAGGGGCUACCAAGAGGCCACAGGAUCAAUCUGGUUGGACAACGUACAGUGUAACGGGGACGAGGGUCAGCUCAGCUAUUGCACUCAUGAUGGUUGGGGAGUACACAACUGCGGACAUUCAGAAGAUGUUGGCGUACAGUGUCACGGCCUAUCGAGUAGCGGCCUUUCUGGUUGGGAGAUAUUUGGAAUCGUUGCCGGAUGCUUAACAGGGGUGUUCUUUUUCUACCAUUGCUGUCUUAAAAAAGGGAAGAACGAAUCAUCCCCAUCAGUACCCACCCAAAGCACAGAAAUUACACUAGAUGUUACAGGUGGAGAAAGAACUCAGGAGUCGGGCGAUUCUCCUCCAGAGAAUACAGGGGAGUUAGCUUUGACUCAUUUAGGUGAUCCAAACUCAAGCUUACCGGACGUUCCGCCACCAGCUUACGAAGACAUCGGAAAAUUUUCGACCGUGCAAAUGCCGGGAUCGGAAGCGUUGUACCCUCCGCCAUCCUCUACGGGCUCGUUUUUACCUCCUAGUCAACCUUAUAACUCAGUAUAUCCCUACCCGCCGCCCAUCUCCGUAUCAUACCCUCCACCACCACCACCACCUCCACCAGAAAUCUCAGGUGGUUCUGUUGCACAUCUGUAUUCGCCGCAGGUUCCAUCAUCUGUACCUUCUUUACCUCCAGCUAGUUAGUCUAUGUAGUGCUUAAUUCCUAUUUGAUUUCGGCCACCGCACACGUUACGACGAGUCUACGACCUGUUUGCGGAAGGAACAGCACAUUGCUAAUUUUAUGAUAGCAAUAGUAUAUAUUUAUAAUAAUGAUCUGAUCUGAUGUUUGGUGUAACUAUUAGAAUACUGAUAUCAAAAUAACUAUGAUCAAUAUUUUGAAGCCACUAAUUAGGCCCGGAGUGAUGGCCAAAUUGAUUUGAAAUUGUAAACAUUUUGUAUGACUGUUAUGACUUAAUUACGACUAAGAAUCGAAUUCGCUUCUGUAGGUCUACAUUAAGUCUAUCAUAAUAUAAAUACCCCCGUAUAGGUGUUCAUAUGACGAUUCCGAAUUAUGGAAAGUAGUAUGUUCCAUGUUUUAAUAUUUACAUCAAACGUUUAAUCUUUUUUUUUCCAAAAUCGGGCGUAGACCAAUCGUAAGGUGCGCGAUGGUCAUUAGGCUAUAUCAUCAAUAUAAUUAUAUAUUUUUGUAAUAUUGACGUCUAUGCAUCCAAUUAUGUAUAUAUUGUAUAAGCAUCUAAACAAAAUAAUAUUUAUGGUAAUGUAAUUAUUUUAAUUUGUUAUGAAAUUAUGAUUUAUCCAUCGUGCUGUUGUAUGUAUAAAUGUGUAUUUUAAUGAUUUUGUUGAAAUGUUUUGUAUACUUUUGCGAUUCGGCUCUUGCCAAUUUCGGAACAUAUUGAAUCGAAUUAGAUAAGACAUAUGGAAUAGACAGAACCUCAAUUCUUAUUUUAACAUGGGGCCACAGGGAUAAGGGGAAACAGAGAUGAAGGCCCUGGAUGGAUCAAGCUCAUUAUAAACACUGUUGAAAUUAAUCUAAACAACGCAGUUUACUAUCCCGGACCAUCCCUUUAAACAGUUUAAACAAGUGUUUAGAAUCUUAAACAACUAUGCUUAAAUUAUUGAUAAUUUAAUAUUUGAAUUUAAAAUUUGUUGUUUAAGAUAUUGAACACUUGUUUAAAAUGUUUAAACUACUACUGUGCGAUUCACAUAGUUAACAGCGUUGUUUAAAUUAUGUUUUACACUGCAAAAACUCCGGUGUUGAUUUAACACCAGCCCGGAAUCUAUAUGUCCACACCAGAGAAGUAUUGAAACAAAACCAGUUUGGAAUCAAACCCAUGCUGUUUUGAUACUAAUUGGUGUUGUAUAAACACCUAUCUGGUGUGAGACCAAAAACGAAACUGGUGUUGUUUAACACUUCUCUGGUGUGGCAUAUAUAGAUUCCAGGCUGGUGUUAAAUCAACACCAGAGUUUUUGCAGUGUAACAUUGAACAAAUAAAGUUGGCUGAGUAAUGCAAGUCUGCAUAUGCCGACUUAACCCAAGACAAGACAAGAAGGCAGUGUGGAGGGAAGGGGACAACCGGGAAAGAAUGGCCAACUUUUAGCUUUUAAAAUCUAUAUAUAUUUUUUGCAAUUGCAUAUUAUUAUAAUAUUGGUCACGAUCUUACUGUUUGAUUUGAUUCAUUUAGUGUUUUUUUUUCAACAAUAGAGGGAUGGUACAACCUUCUAUCAUAAUGAAAAUCAGAUAUCCAAAGAGAUACAUUC